rnacentral:rRNA from 1 species
UGAGUGGCGACGGGUGAGUAACGCGUGGGCAACCUGCCCUGGUACAGGGGGACAACACUUAGAAAUAGGUGCUAAUACCGCAUAACGGGGGGAGCCGCAUGGCACCCCCCUGAAAACUCCGGUGGUACAGGAUGGGCCCGCGUCUGAUUAGCUGGUUGGCAGGGUAACGGCCUACCAAGGCGACGAUCAGUAGCCGGCCUGAGAGGGCGGACGGCCACACUGGGACUGAGACACGGCCCAGACUCCUACGGGAGGCAGCAG